UAAAACCCAUCAAAACCAGUUAAAAACCAGUUAAAACCAGUUAAAACAUUAAAACCAGUUAAAAACCAGUUAAAACAG